CUUGCACAAAGCGUGGCUCACAUCCUACUGGUGGUCUGAAAAGGUAUAUAAAGGCUCUCUGAACACUUCAGUCUCAUCAACAGCCGUUCAUCCUCUACACUUCUCCAGACCUGGUUUAUCUGCACCACAAAAGAUGUAUUCAGGAUCACAGCUCAUGAGCAGUGGAUGUUCUUCCCCCUGCGAGGUGACCUGCCCGCAGCCCUGCGCCGAAGCCUACAGCGAGCCCUGCGUCACCUCCUGCGGGGACUCCCGCGCCGUGGUGUACCCCCCACCCGUUGUUAUCCACUUCCCAGGCCCCAUCCUCAGCUCCUGCCCACAGGAGAGCUUCGUGGGCACCUCGUUCCCAAUAUCCAUUGGGAGGGGGUAUUCGGGGUCACUGGGCUCUGCUGAAUCAGGGGGCUCAUUUAAUGUUGGGGGUGCCUAUGGCGGAAGCAGCUCAUUUGGAAUGGGGGGCUCAUACGGAGGAGGCAGUUCCCUGGGGAUGGGGGGCUCGUACGGUGGAGGCAGUUCCCUGGGGAUGGGGGGCUCAUACGGAGGAGGCAGUUCCCUAGGAAUGGGGGGCUCAUACGGAGGUGGUAGGUCAUUUGGCUCUGGGGGUUCAUUCAGAGGCAGAAGAUCCUUCAGCUCCAGGACCUGCUACGGAGGGGGCAUGGGAGGCUCCUAUGGAGGAGGCAUUGGAAGCUCCUACGGAGGAGGCAGCUCCUACGGUGGGGGCUCCUAUGGAGGAGGACGUUCCUUUGGCACGGGAAGCUGUCAGGGUGCCGGCAGCUCCUCUGGUUACAGGAGGUCUGUCGUAGGAAGCUGUAGCUCUGGUAACUUCUGAAGAGGCAACGUCUCCUGCUCCAGCACCCCUGGCCCAUGCUGACCUCGCAAGGGAAACUGCAGCCCGGUGAUACCAAGCACUUCUCUUUGCUGGCACAUGUGGAGCUGCAGCCCUGCCCAAAGGCCUGGGAAAUGUCCUUCGUGCUCUGUGUGACUGCUUUCACAAAACGCAUGCUGUAUUUCCCUGUCAUUAAAAAUAUGUUGCAUCACUA